rnacentral:rRNA from 1 species
UGAACGCUGGCGGCGUGCCUAAUACAUGCAAGUCGAGCGAACGGACGAGAAGCUUGCUUCUCUGAUGUUAGCGGCGGACGGGUGAGUAACACGUGGAUAACCUACCUAUAAGACUGGGAUAACUUCGGGAAACCGGAGCUAAUACCGGAUGAUAUUUUGAACCGCAUGGUUCAAAAGUGAAAGACGGUCUUGCUGUCACUUAUAGAUGGAUCCGCGCUGCAUUAGCUAGUUGGUAAGGUAACGGCUUACCAAGGCAACGAUGCAUAGCCGACCUGAGAGGGUGAUCGGCCACACUGGAACUGAGACACGGUCCAGACUCCUACGGGAGGCAGCAGUAGGGAAUCUUCCGCAAAGGGCGAAAGCCUGACGGAGCAACGCCGCGUGAGUGAUGAAGGUCUUCGGAUCGUAAAACUCUGUUAUUAGGGAAGAACAUAUGUGUAAGUAACUGUGCACAUCUUGACGGUACCUAAUCAGAAAGCCACGGCUAACUACGUG